rnacentral:rRNA from 1 species
AGAGUUUGAUCCUGGCUCAGGACGAACGCUGGCGGCGUGCCUAACACAUGCAAGUCAAGGGGCCUUCGGGUCACUGGCGCACGGGUGAGUAACGCGUAGAUAAUCUGCCCUUAUCUCAGGCAUAACUUCGGGAAACCGGAGCUAAUACCUGAUGAGGCUGCAAAGUCAAAGGUUUACCGGAUGAGGAUGAGUCUGCGUCUGAUUAGCUAGUUGGUAAGGUAAAAGCUUACCAAGGCGACGAUCAGUAGCUGGUCUGAGAGGAUGAUCAGCCACACUGGAACUGAGACACGGUCCAGACUCCUACGGGAGGCAGCAGUGAGGAAUUUUGGUCAAUGGGGGAAACCCUGAACCAGCGACGCCGCGUGUACGAUGAAGGGGCUUUGCCCUGUAAAGUACUGUCAGAUGGGAAGAAAAGCCUGCUCAGCAGGCUGGGACUGUACCAUCAGAGGAAGGACCGGCUAACUACGUGCCAGCAGCCGCGGUAAUACGUAGGGUCCUAGCGUUGUCCGGAAUUACUGGGUAUAAAGGGUGCGCAGGCGGGCUUGUGCGUCAGGAGUCAAAUCCCGGGGCUUAACCCCGGACCGGCCUCUGAAACGGCAAGUCUUGAGUAUGAGAGAGGAUAGUAGAAUUCCUGGUGUAGCGGUGAAAUGCGUAGAUAUC